ensembl:lncRNA
CUCCCUCGAUCCCUCUCUCGAUCUCUCUCUCCACUUUCCAAGCCAACAGUCUGUCCUGAUAGAAAGCGUCUGUGGAGACACCUCCCAAACGGCCCCCCUGUUCCCUGCAUAGGGCUCCCGCAGGACUCUGGUGAAAACCAGUGCACUGUGUGGGGAAUAGUGUGGCAUUAGGGACAGAGGCAGACAUUCAUACCACUAAUAUUCUACACAGCGUCAGUUGUUAUUCAUGUUGUCAUCACACCAGAACACUGGACAUUUUCUAACCGACGUUACCCCAGUUUAACGUUGGAGGACGCGCACUGACAUUGUUGUUUUAAAUUCGAUAUUACAUAAGGUAGCUACCCGGUAAUGUUUGAAUAAAGGGAAGGUAGCUACCCGGUAAUGUUUGAAUAAAGGGAAGGUAGCUACCUGGUAAUGUUUGAAUAAAAGGAAGGUAGCUACCCGGUAAUGUUUGAAUAAGGGAAAGGUAGCUACCCGGUAAUGUUUGAAUGUGAGUGGAGAGUAGACCAUGUUAGCGGUUGGACAAAAGGGUUUGGGCUAAGGCAAGGGUUCAUGACGAUACAUCAGUCAUUGAGACGCAAGCAAACUAACACACACACACAAACAUUUCACUCUGAAGGGCUGGAAAGGUACUCCUCACACACACUCUUAAGGAGUAACUGGAUUGUCACAUUACGGCACAUUCAGAAACUACAUCUGCUACCACGGCAACCUCUCCGUCACAAUGACAAGAACCAGGGAUGGAGGGAGAUGAAGGGAGAUAUGGGCGGAACAGAGAAACACCUGAACCCCCGGACCCACCC